rnacentral:rRNA from 1 species
GAUGAACGCUGGCGGCGUGCUUAACACAUGCAAGUCGAACGAUGAAGCCCAGCUUGCUGGGUGGAUUAGUGGCGAACGGGUGAGUAACACGUGAGUAACCUGCCCUUGACUCUGGGAUAAGCCCGGGAAACUGGGUCUAAUACCGGAUAGGAGCGCCUGUCGCAUGACGGGUGUUGGAAAGAUUUUUCGGUCAUGGAUGGACUCGCGGCCUAUCAGCUUGUUGGUGAGGUAAUGGCUCACCAAGGCGACGACGGGUAGCCGGCCUGAGAGGGUGACCGGCCACACUGGGACUGAGACACGGCCCAGACUCCUACGGGAGGCAGCAGUGGGGAAUAUUGCACAAUGGGCGGAAGC